AAGGGAGACCUAAUUCGGGUAUAAGACGAAAAAAGAGUAGUCGAAACCAAGAAUCAAUCCCAAAAGGUCGGAACGAGGUAUGUGGCUUUCAAACUAGGUUCUGGGUUCACACAAGACCUGAAUCAGGAACAAGGGCUAUUAGCUCAGGUGGUUAGAGCGCACCCCUGAUAAGGGUGAGGUCCCUGGUUCGAGUCCAGGAUGGCCCACCUGCACAGGUGGCAAAAACAAAGAAGCGAGGAAUCAGCACCUUAUCUUAUCUAUAUAUAAGAGAGAAUGCUGGCUCUGAGUAAAGAGUCCAGAGGAACCUUGAAAACUGCAUAGAGCUAGGUGAAAAAGCCAAAGAAGAAGACCGCAA
rnacentral:tRNA from 1 species